rnacentral:rRNA from 1 species
GAUGAACGCUGGCGGCGUGCCUAAUACAUGCAAGUCGAGCGAACGGACGAGAAGCUUGCUUCUCUGAUGUUAGCGGCGGACGGGUGAGUAACACGUGGAUAACCUACCUAUAAGACUGGGAUAACUUCGGGAAACCGUAGCUAAUACCGGAUAAUAUUUUGAACCGCAUGGUUCAAAAGUGAAAGACGGUCUUGCUGUCACUUAUAGAUGGAUCCGCGCUGCAUUAGCUAGUUGGUAAGGUAACGGCUUACCAAGGCAACGAUGCAUAGCCGACCUGAGAGGGUGAUCGGCCACACUGGAACUGAGACACGGUCCAGACUCCUACGGGAGGCAGCAGUAGGGAAUCUUCCGCAAAGGGCGAAAGCCUGACGGAGCAACGCCGCGUGAGUGAUGAAGGCCUUCGGAUCGUAAAACUCUGUUAUUAGGGAAGAACAUAUGUGUAAGUAACUGUGCACAUCUUGACGGUACCUAAUCAGAAAGCCACGGCUAACUACGUG